rnacentral:lncRNA from 1 species
GUCCCUUCCCCAGGACCACGGCUGCAGGCCCAGCGCCUCCCGAGAGGCCCGGUGACCCACGCGGCCGGCCCGACCUGUCCCUCCUGCAGCUCAGGCAGCCGAGGCUGGAUGCCUCCCGAUUGGGCUGCCUGGCGGGAUCCACAGGCAACGCCGGCCUGGGCGCCCGGGUCACUCGGGGUGGGGUGACUUUUUAAAGUCCUGCUGGUCGGGCAGCACUGCAAACCCAGCAGAGACCCAUUCCACAGUUUAAAGAGACCCAGGCUACCUUUUGCUAGGGGCUCGGGGCCUCCGUUCUUUGCACCAAAACGCCCAUUUUUCCCUCCCAGGGACAGACACCUAAGUUGUCUCCAACGCCAUGAGUCCCGUACAGUUUCUCAGGAUAAGGAAGCCAGGAGUGGAAAUGCUGGAUGGUAACGACCUCAACGUCUCCUUCUUCUUUUUAAAUUUUGAGACAGAAUUUUGCUACCAUAAGUCACUAAGUUGCCCAGGCUGGGCUCAAACAUGAUCCUCCUGCCUCAGCUUCCCAUAGUGCUGAAAUCACAGGACUGUGUCACCGUCAUGCCAGCUCAUGUGCCUUAGUUCUUGGUGGCUCCCAAAGCCCUGGGAAGCACUCACAGCAGAGGAGGAGGCUGGGGUGCAGAGGGUUGGGGGGCUGACCCUCGGCCCCCCGGCCGGUCGUCACUGGAACCCAGGCGCCAGUGCAGGCCUCCUGAGCUCUCCUCCAGGUUCUUCCCACUCCGGUGCGCUGGGCCGUGGGUUGCUUCCGUGGAGACCCCGACUCUGACAGCCAUGUGCGAGCCGCACGCUCUUCUCGGGGUGGCUCUGGCCUGUGACAGCACAGAGUGGCUGCGUGGGCCGGGAAGAGAAUCAGCAUCACUGUGGAGUGAGGGGCCUCUGCCAGCCAAUCGUGCUGACAUGAAAACACACAAAACCGCCAUCCACAGAUGUGCACACACGCACGCCUCGCCAACACAGCUUCAGCUCAUUUGCAAAACCCAAAGCUGCUUGCAGGUGAGCUGGUGAACGAGAAGCAGGAAGAGGAAGCUCUUGAGGAAACAGUCAGCUCCGCCCCUGCGAGAAUGAGGCCGAACCCAAACCGCAGUGGAAAUGUCAGCACUGAGGAGGCGCAUCGCGGCUUGGCUUGUGGUGGACCCACUGCAUUUAUUGUAACUGGGUAACCCGAGUCUGUCCUGUCCCCAGUCCCCAGCACCACUGCCCCAUUCUAACAGGGUCAGCCAAGUUAAUUCUGCUAUGGAAAAGUGAAAGGAAAAGAGACACCAUAUUAAAGAAUCUUACCACAGUGAUAUAUGCACACCCAUGUUCAUAGCGGCACAGUGCAUAAUAGCUAAAGCUUGGAAACAGCCCAAGUGCCCGUCAACUGGAAACUAGAUAAAGAAGAUGUGGGUUUUUUUAUAAAAUGGAGUACUACUCAGCCAAAGGAAUGAGAAACUAGAGGCAUUUUAUAGCUAAAUGGAUGCAUAUUGAGGCCAUCCUCUUAAGUGAAAUAAAUAGGACACACACACGUGUAAAUACCGAAUCGUUUCUCUAGUGUGAGAAACUGAAACUGUAAUUAAGGAUUAAAAUGCUUAAAAUGAAUAAUGGAUAAUUUGAAAUAAGAAGAAAAGGUCC